rnacentral:tRNA from 1 species
GACUACAUAGCUCAGUGGUAAGAGCACUGGUCUUGUAACCAGGGGUCGUGAGUUCAAAACUCACUGGAGCCU